rnacentral:rRNA from 1 species
GCGGCCACUGCUAUCAAGUUCCGACUAAGCCAUGCGAGUCAAGGUAUCGUAAGAUGCCGGCAAACUGCUCAGUAACACGUGGAUAAUCUAACCUUGAGUAAGGGAUAACUUCGGGAAACUGAAGGUAAUACCUUAUAAUUGCUUAAAACUGGAAUGUUUUUGCAAUAAAAGUUACGACGCUCAAGGAUGAGUCUGCGACCUAUCAGGUAGUAGGUGGUGUAAUGGACCACCUAGCCUCAGACGGGUACGGGCCCUGGGAGGGGUAGCCCGGAGAUGGACUCUGAGACAUAAGUCCAGGCCCUACGGGGCGCAGCAGGCGCGAACACUGUGCAAUGCGCGAAAGCGCGACACGGGGAGCUUGAGUGUCUUGGCAUAGCCAAGACUUUUCUCAUUCCUAAAAAGCAUGAGGAAUAAGUGCUGGGUAAGACGGGUGCCAGUCGCCGCGGUAACACCCGCAGCACGAGUAGUGGUCACUUUUAUUGAGCCUAAAGCGUUCGUAGCCGGUUUUGUAAAUCUUCAGAUAAAGCCUGAAGCUUAACUCCAGAAAGUCUGAAGAGACUGCAAGACUUGAGAUCGGGUGAGGUUAAACGUACUUUCAGGGUAGGGGUAAAAUCCUGUAAUCCCGGAAGGACGACCAGUGGCGAAAGCGUUUAACUAGAACGAAUCUGACGGUAAGGAACGAAGGCUAGGGUAGCAAACCGGAUUAGAUACCCGGGUAGUCCUAGCUGUAAACAUUGCCCAUUUGAUGUUGCUUUUCCGUUGAGGGAAGGCAGUGUCGGAGCGAAGGUGUUAAAUGGGCCGCUUGGGAAGUAUGGUCGCAAGACUGAAACUUAA